UACGUAGGGUGCGAGCGUUGCCCGGAUUUAUUGGGCGUAAAGGGCGCGUAGGCGGCUCUGCACGUCCGUUGUGAAAUCGCCCGGCUCAACUGGGCGGGGUCAGCGGAUACGGCCGCACUUGAGCAAGCUAGGGGGCAAUGGAAUUCCCGGUGUAGUGGUGGAAUGCGUAGAUAUCGGGAGGAACACCAGUGGCGAAGGCGGUUGCCUGGAGCUUUGCUGACGCUGAGGCGCGAAAGCUAGGGGAGCAAACAGG
rnacentral:rRNA from 1 species